rnacentral:rRNA from 1 species
UACAGAGGGUGCGAGCGUUAAUCGGAAUUACUGGGCGUAAAGCGCACGUAGGUGGCGACGUAAGUCGGGUGUGAAAGCCCCGGGCUCAACCUGGGAAUUGCAUUCGAGACUGCAUUGCUGGAGUACGGAAGAGGAAGGCGGAAUUCCCGGUGUAGCGGUGAAAUGCGUAGAGAUCGUAAGGAAGACCAGUGGCGAAGGCGAGUCUCUGGAAAGCUGCUGACGCUGAGGCACGAAGGCCAGGGGAGCAAACGGG